rnacentral:rRNA from 1 species
ACGGGUGAGUAACACGUGGGUAACCUGCCCUGUGGAUCGGGAUAACCGGCCGAAAGGCCUGCUAAUACCGGAUAAGACCACGAAAGUUUCGGCUUUUGGGGUCAAAGUCUGCCUCUCAACGAUGCAGGCGCCAUUGGAUGGGCCCGCGGACCAUUAGCUAGUUGGUAGGGUAAUGGCCUACCAAGGCCGAGAUGGUUAGCUGGUCUGAGAGGAUGAUCAGCCACACUGGAACUGAGAUACGGUCCAGACUCCUACGGGAGGCAGCAGUGAGGAAUAUUGCGCAAUGGGGGAAACCCUGACGCAGCAACGCCGCGUGGGUGAAGAAGGCCUUCGGGUUGUAAAGCCCUGUCAAGCGGGAAGAAACCUUUACAGGUGAAUAGUCUGUAAAGCUGACGGUACCGCUAAAGGAAGCACCGGCUAACUCCGUGCCAGCAGCCGCGGUAAGACGGAGGGUGCAAGCGUUGUUCGGAAUCACUGGGCGUAAAGCGCGUGUAGGCGGUCUGGUAAGUCGAAUGUGAAAGCCCGAGGCUUAACUUCGGAAGUGCAUUCGAAACUGUCAGGCUUGAGUACGGGAGAGGGAAGU